rfam:Ixodes scapularis strain Wikel colony gcontig_1108379004420, whole genome shotgun sequence.
GCAGUCGCAGCCGAGUGGUUAAGGCGAUGGACAAGAAAUCCAUUGGGUUCCCCCUACAGGUUCGAAUCCUGUCGAGUGCG